ACACAGCCACAUCCGUCCAAAUUCAUUCUCGCUGGCAGAAUCCUGCUCCUUGUAUUUCAGAGACUGACACCUUUGUUUCCUGAGUAUGCGGCUCUUCAGCUGGCAAGAGAAGCUUCAAAGCUCAGGCAAUUUGUGUCCUUACUGUCCUCUGAUUCCACCAACUUGAGAAAACUCUGCCUUUAAAGGAGUCCUGGGAUUGUGUUAGAAGGAUUCAGAAAAGCUUCUUAUCUGGGCUUGACUAAUCUGAACUGCAGUGGCUUUCUAUUCUGAGGAUGAUUUUGCCUUAAGUGUAGUCAGAAGAGGAGUCUUCGGCCUCUAGAGCACUGGGAUCAAAGGCAAACACCACUGAGAUCUCUCAGACACUGAAUCAUCAACCAGGCAGCAUACGAGAGCUGGUCUGAGGCCCCCUGACACAUACACAGCAAAGGACUGCCUGGUCUGGCCGCAGUGGGAGAAGAUGCAGGCCUAACCCUUGAGAGACUUGAGGCCCCAGGGGUUGGGUGGCCUGGCUGGGGGACAACCUCUUGGAGACAGGAGGAGGAGGAGGAAUAAGAUGAGGAACUGUAGGAGGGCAAACCAAAAGGGGAGGGGUAACAACUGGACUGUAGAAAUAUAAAAGCAGUUCUUUUAAAA
ensembl:bidirectional_promoter_lncRNA A730020E08Rik RIKEN cDNA A730020E08 gene